CCUACGGGCGGCAGCAGUAGGGAAUCUUUCACAAUGGGCGAAAGCCUGAUGGAGCAACGCCGCGUGCAGGAUGAAGGCCUUCGGGUUGUAAACUGCUUUUAUAAGCGAGAAAUAUGAUGGUAACUUAUGAAUAAGGAUCGGCUAACUACGUGCCAGCAGCCGCGGUAAUACGGAGGAUGCGAGCGUUAUCCGGAUUUAUUGGGUUUAAAGGGUGCGUAGGUUGUUUUUUAAGUCAGCGGUGAAAGUUUGUGGCUCAACCAUAAAAUUGCCGUUGAAACUGGAAGACUUGAGUGUGUUUGAGGUAGGCGGAAUGCGUGGUGUAGCGGUGAAAUGCAUAGAUAUCACGCAGAACUCCAAUUGCGAAGGCAGCUUACUAAGCCAUAACUGACACUGAAGCACGAAAGCGUGGGGAUCAAACAGGAUUAGAUACCCCAGUAGUC
rnacentral:rRNA from 1 species